UUUGUAUCAAGAGAGCGGUUAGAGAUCUGGCUCAAAGAUCCGCCGGCAACCAUUCAAAAGAAACGGUGCCUCCAGCCCCAUAAGGGAACGAUGCUAC
rnacentral:ncRNA from 2 species